ACGCGUGGAACCUUACCAGGUCUUGACAUCCCGCUGACCGGUCUGGAGACAGAUCUUCCCCUUCGGGGGCAGCGGUGACAGGUGGUGCAUGGUUGUCGUCAGCUCGUGUCGUGAGAUGUUGGGUUAAGUCCCGCAACGAGCGCAACCCUUGAUCUUAGUUGCCAGCAUUUAGUUGGGCACUCUAAGGUGACUGCCGGUGACAAACCGGAGGAAGGUGGGGAUGACGUCAAAUCAUCAUGCCCCUUAUGACCUGGGCUACACACGUGCUACAAUGGAUGGUACAAAGGGCAGCAAAGCGGCGACGCCUAGCAAAUCCCAUAAAACCAUUCUCAGUUCGGAUUGUAGGCUGCAACUCGCCUACAUGAAGCUGGAAUCGCUAGUAAUCGCGGAUCAGCAUGCCGCGGUGAAUACGUUCCCGGGCCUUGCACACACCGCCCGU
rnacentral:rRNA from 1 species